GCUUGUCUCAAAGAUUAAGCCAUGCAUGUCUAAGUGUAAAUAAGUCUAUACUGUGAAACUGCGAAUGGCUCAUUAAAUCAGUUAUCGUUUAUUUGAUGAUCUCUUACUACUUGGAUAACCGUAGUAAUUCUAGAGCUAAUACAUGCACACACUCCUGACGCAAGAAAGGACGUAUUUAUUAGAUCCAUACCAACCCCUCACGGGUUUCCGGUGAAUCAUAAUAACUGAGCGAACCGCAUGCCUCACGGCGGCGGUGGUUCAUUCAAGUUUCUGCCCUAUCAGCUUUCGAUGGUAGGGUAUUGGCCUACCAUGGCGUUAACGGGUAACGGAGAAUUAGGGUUCGAUUCCGGAGAGGGAGCCUGAGAGAUGGCUACCACAUCCAAGGAAGGCAGCAGG
rnacentral:rRNA from 1 species